GUCUGCUCUGGGACUUGGAACAAAAGGGGGAACUCUGAUGAACUCCUUCUCCCGCUCCCUGGACGCCCGAGUAUCUCUUUCUCGCAACUUUGUCAACGCGACUUUCUCCGCUGUCAGGCUGCGCAAAAGUGUCCUAGCGCCUCGCAGGCUGCAACAAUGGAAACAAUGUCCCUUCAAAGUGCGACGAAGUGGAGAGAGAAGGUGUUAUACCAGCGACUCCAAGAGUCAUGUCACCCACUUAGCAGGAGUACUUCUACUGAAAUGCCUUCGCCUUACUCUUAUUGGAUCUAUACCUAUCAGCCGUUAGCAUGGAGACGCCAGGACUGCUGCAAGUUAUCACUGGACAAAAUAUCAUCAACUUCUUCAUUUAAAUUGAGUUUCUUCAGUUAAAUUGCUGGGAUUUUUUGACAAGGCUUUCCUUAUGUGGAUUAUUGGAGUGUGAUGCCCGGGAAUUCUCUACUUGUAGAAGCACCCCCACGUGACUGCAGAAGCCUUCACACCCAGCACGCUCAGAUGGGAAUGAGUGAUGGCCUUCCAGUGACCAGCUGGGACUGACUGCCUUACAAGA
ensembl:processed_transcript RIKEN cDNA 2610307P16 gene